rnacentral:lncRNA from 1 species
AGAAAUUUAGAUUAAAUAAAACUCAAAUAUACAUUACAACUUAAGUCAAUAAUAUUAAUUAUAAUUUUGUUUUGCAUAUUCUCUUGUUUUAAUGUUUGAAACGUAUAUUUAAGUUUUUUUAAAAGAGAUAAAAUAAGCAAAUCAUACUACCAUUGUUGAUUUGGUGUGGUAAACAUUGUGAGUCACAUUGAGAAGACUACUGUGUUAAAC